GGGUAGGGGUUGGGGAAAGGGGAGGGCUAGGGCCUGCUCGGCCAUAGUUGGACCCAUCUGGCUCUGCUGGGGAGCUACCCAGGGGGCCGGCUGGCCGUAGUCCAGACCCCUGGGUGCUCCCUGGGGUCCUUUCCUGGCCCGGAGGCCUCCAGCCCCCAAGCUUAGCAAGGCCCACCACCCCGGGAAGGCUUCAUGGCCCAUUCUUCUGCCUCCCCGCCUUCCCGGAGCCCCUUAGCGAGGACUGCCUCUGGGCACUUUGUCGGUGGGAGCUGGGCCAGCGCUUGCAGUCUUGGGAGCUCAGGUCCCUGGCAGAGAGGACGUGGCCUUGGCCACGCACAGCACACCUGGAGCCCACUGGUCUGGCACGGCAGCUCCUCAGUCCGUGAACCCUCUGCAAAACUUGACUAACGGAGCUCCCAGCUUCCCCAAACCUACCGUGGGCUCCAGCUCCCGCCCAGCCCCCUGUCUGUCUGGGCCCCACCUGGGGUGACCCAGAGUCAGCUCAGUCCAGCCCAGCCCUGGGGAGGAGAGCAGAGGGGAGCUCACGCCCUCUCCCAGGUCUGUCCUCUGGGGUCUGGAAUUCAUCUCCCACCUCCCAGCAGAUUCCUCCUACCCGCUGCAGGGUAACUCCUGUGCUGCUGACCCAGUCCCAGCACCUCCCUGCUCUGCCUUCUGCCCU